rnacentral:rRNA from 1 species
GAUGAACGCUGGCGGCGUGCUUAACACAUGCAAGUCGAACGAGAAGUGAAGACGGAAACCUUCGGGCGGAAGGCUUUAUUUCGAGUGGCGGACGGGUGAGUAACGCGUGGGUAACCUGCCUCAUACAGGGGGAUAACAGUUGGAAACGACUGUUAAUACCGCAUAAGACUACAGCACCGCAUGGUGCGGGGGUAAAAACUCCGGUGGUAUGAGAUGGACCCGCGUUCGAUUAGCCAGUUGGCGGGGUAACGGCCCACCAAAGCGACGAUCGAUAGCCGAUCUGAGAGGAUGACCGGCCACAUUGGGACUGAGACACGGCCCAAACUCCUACGGGAGGCAGCAGUAGGGAAUAUUGCACAAUGGGGGAAACCCUGAUGCAGCGACGCCGCGUGAGUGAAGAAGUAUUUCGGUAUGUAAAGCUCUAUCAGCAGGGAAGAAAAUGACGGUACCUGAGUAAGAAGCCCCGGCUAACUACGUG